CCUGACGCAGCAACGCCGCGUGCGGGAUGACGGCCUUCGGGUUGUAAACCGCUUUCAGCAGGGACGAAGGGUCACCUUGACGGUACCUGCAGAAGAAGCACCGGCUAACUACGUGCCAGCAGCCGCGGUGAUACGUAGGGUGCGAGCGUUGUCCGGAAUUAUUGGGCGUAAAGAGCUUGUAGGCGGUCUGUUGCGUCGGAAGUGAAAACUCAGGGCUUAACCCUGAGCCUGCUUUCGAUACGGGCAGACUUGAGGGAUGUAGGGGAGAACGGAAUUCCUGGUGGAGCGGUGGAAUGCGCAGAUAUCAGGAGGAACACCAGUGGCGAAGGCGGUUCUCUGGACAUUUCCUGACGCUGAGAAGCGAAAGCGUGGGGAGCAAACAGGCUUAGAUACCCUGGUAGUCCACGCCGUAAACGGUGGGCACUAGGUGUGGGUUCCAUUCCACGGAAUCCGUGCCGAAGCUAACGCAUUAAGUGCCCCGCCUGGGGAGUACGGCCGCAAGGCUAAAACUCAAAGGAAUUGACGGGGGCCCGCACAAGCGGCGGAGCAUGCGGAUUAAUUCGAUGCAACGCGAAGAACCUUACCUGGGUUUGACAUAUGCCGGAACACCUAGAGAUAGGUGCCCCGCAAGGCCGG
rnacentral:rRNA from 1 species